CAUCCGUCUCACUCGCUUCGCACCCCGACCGCGAUAGGGCUGUUUUGAUCGGUUUUCUCCCUCGCAACGGCCACGGUUCUGGGAGGACACUAGUCGCGCGAGGCACAUGGGCGGGCUCAGGGUCUCUGGUGGACUCUGCCGGCGAGGUAAUGCGGCCGCAGGUUCGAAAGAGUGCGGGCAAACUCGACUGCAGUUCUUCCAUGUAUAUACGGCGCUCUACGUGCAAUAACAACUCGUCAGAUAAC
rnacentral:misc_RNA from 1 species